GAUAUUGGUGACAGCCUGGGUUUUCUGCCCAUGAUGUCUUAAAAGGGAAUCAGGUGUAAUACCUGAGCUGUACCCGCAACUGUUAUCUUCAGAGAAAUUCUGCCUUCCACACGCCACUGUCCGCUUUGCUGGAUGGGAAGGCCAGGCAGAUGAAGAGAGCCAGGAGACCUGCCAACGUCUAACAUUCACC
rnacentral:ncRNA from 2 species